rnacentral:rRNA from 1 species
CCCGGGCCUUGUACACACCGCCCGUCACACCACGAAAGCCGGCAACACCCGAAGCCAGUGGCCUAACCCGCAAGGGAGGGAGCUGUCGGAGGUGGGGUUGGUGAUUGGGGUG